CACACGACUCUCGGCAACGGAUAUCUCGGCUCUCGCAUCGAUGAAGAACGUAGCGAAAUGCGAUACCUGGUGUGAAUUGCAGAAUCCCGUGAACCAUCGAGUCUUUGAACGCAAGUUGCGCCCGAGGCCAUCCGGCCGAGGGCACGCCUGCCUGGGCGUCAC
rnacentral:rRNA from 4 species